rnacentral:rRNA from 1 species
AUUGAACGCUGGCGGCAUGCUCCACACAUGCAAGUCGAACGGUAACAGGGUGCUUGCACCGCUGACGAGUGGCGAACGGGUGAGUAAUGCGUCGGAACGUGCCGAGUAGUGGGGGAUAACGCAGCGAAAGUUGUGCUAAUACCGCAUACGUACUGAGGUAGAAAGUGGGGGACCUUCGGGCCUCACGCUAUUCGAGCGGCCGACGUCUGAUUAGCUAGUAGGUGAGGUAAAGGCUCACCUAGGCGACGAUCAGUAGCGGGUCUGAGAGGAUGAUCCGCCACACUGGGACUGGGACACGGCCCAGACUCCUACGGGAGGCAGCAGUGGGGAAUUUUGGACAAUGGGCGAAAGCCUGAUCCAGCCAUGCCGCGUGUCUGAAGAAGGCCUUCGGGUUGUAAAGGACUUUUGUCAGGGAGGAAAUCCCUAGUGCUAAUAACACUGGGGGAUGACAGUACCUGAAGAAUAAGCACCGGCUAACUACGUGCCAGCCGCCGCGGUAA